GAGUUGCGUAAGAAUUAAAACGUUGCCAAACCAAUAAAGCCUAAAGCAGGUCACUCCCUCCAGACUGCUUUUGAUGAGCACAGGUAUGCUGCCGGGUCUGCGAUGGAAGAGCCCGUCAAGAGACAGAAAUCUGACUCACCUACAAAAAUGCACCAAUAAGAAGAAAUUAACCACACUGUGACGCGGUGGCGCUUCUGUCAAUCCCGACAGCAUGUUACUCUGCCCCAUAACAUAAAAAGUAACGCAACUUUGCUUGUUCACUGAAGUCAGAAACUGUGUCUAAAAAUACCUCCCAGCCAACUGGCUAUCGGUCAGUCAGUCUCACAAAUGUCCCAAUAAGAGUGACACAGACUGUCUCCUUACUUUACAGAGGGGGAACUGAGGCAGUCACAGGAAGGCUCGGAGACUUAUUCAAGGACAGCCUGUAAGGGAACCACGUUGUGGGGCUGAAAACCAGCCUCCUCCCUCCCUCUGGCUCUAACCUUUAACCAGAGUAGCCAUUUUAUUAUGUUUCAAUCACAUCUGUUCCAGGAGCUUUUAACAAAACUAAUCAGAGAUUCCCUUCCUCUCUCCAAGAGUUCACUUUCAACUGUACUUCAAAACCACGUCCACUGAAUGAAGUUACAAGACUUGGCCUGAAAGGAGAUUUUCAGUCUGUUCAAAGAAACUCAAAAUGUUCCUAUCAGAAGCUCAACUGCUGCCAUUAUUGCUUUCUUCUUAAGAAAUGAGUGUCUUCUGUUACUAAUGCAAUUUUACAUUUUUAAAUACUAGUGUGAAAAUUCCAAAGAGAGGCCUUAAAACUUGGUACACCUAUCAAAUGGAUGCUGUUUAUAUAUAACCUGGAAGUCAUUCGCCUUAUCACUGGCCUUUUACUAGUUCACUAAUUAAAAGAAACACCUCUCCCUUGCUGUCCUCAUGUCAUGCCCAGGCAGCAGGCAGCAGGGCUGGGGCUCGGCAGCUCCUCCAGCCCACCUAGGGAAGCUCGACAGAGGAAGUGCAGGGGAGGAAAGCAAUCAACUUCUUGUUAUCAUCAGCCUCUAUUUUCCCAGAACUGACGUUUUACUUUAAGCCUUUUGCAACAGUGGUCUCUGUAGCAUGCACUAUUGGCAACUAGCUGUGUCCCGGAAAAAACUGUAGUGUCUGGCCAAGAAGUUUAAAGGCCUUCGAGAAUGUUUGCUGGACACACAACCCAAUUUCCAAUUUACCAAAAAAAAGAAACUAAUUCCCUAUUUUGACCACCCAUCUCACCCCAACAAACACCCAUUUUAGGAAGGUUACAAAAAAAUAAAAUGAACUCUGCCCCAUUCAGAACCAGUUGGAUUAUCAAUUAAACAUUCUUAACUAAGCUCACAAGAAAAGCCCCACAGACACUACACCAAGUUAACAGGGAAACGGCUGUUAAAAAUCCUGCAUACAGCAGGGACUGGAUAAAAAUUCCUAUGGAAGGAAUUUAAAGAUUUAUUCAUACACAUAUCAGAUGACAAACCUGAAGCCCAAGUCUCCUUAUUUACUACCCCAGUAGGGAAAUAACAUGAUGUUACACUUUCCAAAAACAUGGCCCACAAGAAGGCCCAGAAAACAUUAUUCACGAAAACCAUGAUCUUAAAUGUCAGGCUGCGUUCAUACACCUUCCCUGUGUUAUCAGAACCACGGCAUAUCACCGAGCACAGCGCAGGGAGACCCAGGAACACACGCCAGGUGCUGAACAGAAGUAUUAGCCACUGAACAAAGACCCCACUUGCACAGGCAACACCACUGGGAACAAAUAUGGGAGCUGGAGACAAUGAACUUGUUUCUGACACUCCAAAGUGGGAUGAGGUCCUUUCCUGAUUGUCUGGUGUAUUCAAGGAGCCCGAACCACCUGAGAAUCAUUAUCUGGAGUGGAGAGAGGAGAGCCACAGAACACACACUUCAUCUCCCACUGCUGAAAGGCGAGGGGCUGCUGAGAAGUCAAAGCAGCAGGCUUUGUACAUCAGAGCAUAUACAGUCCUGACAGUCUCUCCCAGAUCCAUCUGCGGGUCAAUAAUCACUUCAAUAUAACUGCCAAAUAUAACCUUCAUCUGCUACCCCCGUGCCAAAACACAUCGGAGACAACUCUCUUAAAUGAAGUAUUUGAGGGUUUCAUCUGCUCUUCUCAGCCCCACAAAGCCUCAUCAAUAACACACCCGGUGGAAGGUGCCACAGAAAGCCUCCUCCCCCGCGUCCACUGCCCGGCGAGUCCCCUGCGUUUUCUGGUCGCCUUCACCCCACUGCCUGGCCUCCUGUCCCAGCAGGAUCGUCGCCGCCGUCUGCUCACUGGUCUCCGCCCUGCAAUCCUCCGGGCGCCCAGCAACCUGUGUGAUCGAUGAUGGGAGCCCCUUUUCAGAACAUUCCAAGGCUUUUUAAUGAUAGUUAGUGCUCAACCUCGGUGCGGGUGCUGGAGGGGCACUCACAGGCGGCUCCUCGGUAGAGCCUUUUGGGUAAACAAUUCGGCAUUAUGUAUAUAAUGCCUUAAAAUACUCAUACCUGUUGGCCCGGUAUAUCCCCUAUCUGCCUUCAGGAAAUAAUACAGAAUAAAUGCUUAUGAAAAGUU